rnacentral:rRNA from 1 species
GAUGAACGCUGGCGGCGUGCCUAAUACAUGCAAGUCGAGCGAACGGACGAGAAGCUUGCUUCUCUGAUGUUAGCGGCGGACGGGUGAGUAACACGUGGAUAACCUACCUAUAAGACUGGGAUAACUUCGGGAAACCGGAGCUAAUACCGGAUGAUAUUUUGAACCGCAUGGUUCAAAAGUGAAAGACGGUCUUGCUGUCACUUAUAGAUGGAUCCGCGCUGCAUUAGCUAGUUGGUAAGGUAACGGCUUACCAAGGCAACGAUGCAUAGCCGACCUGAGAGGGUGAGCGGCCACACGGGAACUGAGACACGGUCCAGACUCCUACGGGAGGCAGCAGUAGGGAAUCUUCCGCAAUGGGCGAAAGCCUGACGGAGCAACGCCGCGUGAGUGAUGAAGGUCUUCGGAUCGUAAAACUCUGUUAUUAGGGAAGAACAUAUGUGUAAGUAACUGUGCACAUCUUGACGGUACCUAAUCAGAAAGCCACGGCUAACUACGUG